UACGAAGGUGGCGAAUGUUACUCGGAUUCACUGGGCGUAAAGCGUCGGUAGGUGGUGUGUUAAGUCAGAGGUGAAAGCCCCGCGCUCAACGUGGGAAUUGCCUUUGAAACUGACGCACUUGAGAAUAUCAGAGGAUGGCGGAAUAUCCGGUGUAGAGGUAAAAUUCAUAGAUAUCGGAUGGAACACCCAUGGCGAAGGCAGCUAUCUGGGAUAUUUCUGACACUGAGCGACGACAGCGUGGGGAUCAAACAGG
rnacentral:rRNA from 1 species